rnacentral:rRNA from 1 species
UUAAGCAUAUCAAUAAGCGGAGGAAAAGAAACCAACAGGGAUUGCCCUAGUAACGGCGAGUGAAGCGGCAACAGCUCAAAUUUGAAAUCUGGCCCUCGCGGUCCGAGUUGUAAUUUGUAGAGGAUGCUUUUGGUUAGGUACCUUCCGAGUUCCCUGGAACGGGACGCCAGAGAGGGUGAGAGCCCCGUACGGUUGGAUACCGAGCCUCUAUAUAGCUCCUUCGACGAGUCGAGUAGUUUGGGAAUGCUGCUCUAAAUGGGAGGUAAAUUUCUUCUAAAGCUAAAUACCGGCCAGAGACCGAUAGCGCACAAGUAGAGUGAUCGAAAGAUGAAAAGUACUUUGAAAAGAGGGUUAAAUAGCACGUGAAAUUGUUGAAAGGGAAGCGUUUGCGACCAGACUUUUUCCGGGCGGAUCAUCCGGUGUUCUCACCGGUGCACUUCGCCCGGUUUAGGCCAGCAUCGGUUCUCCUAGGGGGAUAAAGGCGGGGGGAACGUGGCUCCUUCGGGAGUGUUAUAGCCCCCCGCGUAAUACCCCUCGGGGGACCGAGGAACGCGCAUCUGCAAGGAUGCUGGCGUAAUGGUCGCCAACGACCCGUC